rnacentral:misc_RNA from 1 species
AAGGGGUCCAACACAUAUGCGAGUGUUUGAGUGGCAAACUCGAGCGCGUAAUGAAAGUAAAUGUAGGUGGGAUUCGUAAGAUGCACCAUCGACCGGUCUGGAUUCUUUUGAAAGAUCUGAGUAAGAGCAUAUUUGUUGGGACCCGAAAGAUGGUGAACUAUGACUGGCCAGGUUGAAGUCAGGGGAAACCCUGAUGGAGGACCGUAGCGAUUCUGACGUGCAAAUCGAUCGUCGGAGCUGGGUAUAGGGGCGAAAGACUAAUCGAACCAUCUAGUAGCUGGUUCCUGU